UCAUCAUAGCUGCAGAGUUGCUCAAGAGCGCCAAUGAACUUGUGAGGAAUAAAAUCCAUCCGACCUCAAUUAUUAGUGGCUACAGGCUCGCUAUGCGUGAGGCUUGCAAGUAUGUCGAAGAAAAGCUCUCUGUCAAGGUUGAUAAACUUGGAAAAGAUUCCCUUGUUAACUGUGCAAAAACUAGCAUGUCUUCGAAAUUGAUUCACGGCG